rnacentral:rRNA from 1 species
AUUGAACGCUGGCGGCAGGCCUAACACAUGCAAGUCGAACGGUAACAGGAAGAAGCUUGCUUCUUUGCUGACGAGUGGCGGACGGGUGAGUAAUGUCUGGGAAACUGCCUGAUGGAGGGGGAUAACUACUGGAAACGGUAGCUAAUACCGCAUAAUGUCGCAAGACCAAAGAGGGGGACCUUCGGGCCUCUUGCCAUCGGAUGUGCCCAGAUGGGAUUAGCUAGUAGGUGGGGUAACGGCUCACCUAGGCGACGAUCCCUAGCUGGUCUGAGAGGAUGACCAGCCACACUGGAACUGAGACACGGUCCAGACUCCUACGGGAGGCAGCAGUGGGGAAUAUUGCACAAUGGGCGCAAGCCUGAUGCAGCUAUGCCGCGUGUAUGAAGAAGGCCUUCGGGUUGUAAAGUACUUUCAGCGGGGAGGAAGGGAGUAAAGUUAAUACCUUUGCUCAUUGACGUUUCCCGCAGAAGAAGCACCGGCUAACUCCGUG